GCGGGUGUAAUUCAAUGGCAGAAUGUCAGCUUCCCAAGCUGGUCGUGAGGGUUCGAUUCCCUUCACCCGCUCCA
rnacentral:tRNA from 1 species